rnacentral:rRNA from 1 species
ACGGUAACAUUUCUAGCUUGCUAGAAGAUGACGAGUGGCGGACGGGUGAGUAAUGCUUGGGAACUUGCCUUUGCGAGGGGGAUAACAGUUGGAAACGACUGCUAAUACCGCAUAAUGUCUUCGGACCAAACGGGGCUUCGGCUCCGGCGCAAAGAGAGGCCCAAGUGAGAUUAGCUAGUUGGUAAGGUAACGGCUUACCAAGGCGACGAUCUCUAGCUGUUCUGAGAGGAAGAUCAGCCACACUGGGACUGAGACACGGCCCAGACUCCUACGGGAGGCAGCAGUGGGGAAUAUUGCACAAUGGGGGAAACCCUGAUGCAGCCAUGCCGCGUGUGUGAAGAAGGCCUUCGGGUUGUAAAGCACUUUCAGUUGUGAGGAAAAGUUAGUAGUUAAUACCUGCUAGCCGUGACGUUAACAACAGAAGAAGCACCGGCUAACUCCGUGCCAGCAGCCGCGGUAAUACGGAGGGUGCGAGCGUUAAUCGGAAUUACUGGGCGUAAAGCGCACGCAGGCGGUUUGUUAAGCUAGAUGUGAAAGCCCCGGGCUCAACCUGGGAUGGUCAUUUAGAACUGGCAGACUAGAGUCUUGGAGAGGGGAGUGGAAUUCCAGGUGUAGCGGUGAAAUGCGUAGAUAUCUGGAGGAACAUCAGUGGCGAAGGCGACUCCCUGGCCAAAGACUGACGCUCAUGUGCGAAAGUGUGGGUAGCGAACAGGAUUAGAUACCCUGGUAGUCCACACCGUAAACGCUGUCUACUAGCUGUGUGUGUCUUUAAGACGUGCGUAGCGAAGCUAACGCGCUAA